GCGCAUGGUCUAGCAAGCAAUCCCUUGAGGGCUACUCGAUCUCCACUUACCCCGAGGGCGUCAAGUGCACCGCUGGGACUUGUCUCUUCAUUGGGAUUCAACAGGGGGCGUAAGGAAAAUGUAAAACUUUUUAUCAAUGUUGAUAGAUACACAAAAUAUAAUGCUCCCUCCAUUACACAGCGAUGUUCCAGAAUAUCACCACUUGCAUCUGCAUCCUUUGGUGACAUGGCGGACUCUUCAACUCCCAUUUUUCCUAGAAUCCAUGUGAAGGAUCCGUAUCAACGACUUGGAAUCAGCAAGGAAGCAUCUGAAGAAGAAAUUCGAGCUGCCAGGAACUUUCUCAUAAGCAAGUAUGCAGAGCAUAAGCCAAGUGUUGAUGCAAUUGAGUCUGCGCAUGACAAAAUCAUCAUGCAGAGUUUCUUUGAUAGAAAAAAACCGAAAGUGGAUCUCAAGAAAAAAUUUAGGGAACUUAGUCAGUCACGUCCAGUCAAGGCUGUUCAGGGCAGAUUUUACACGCCAUCUAACAAAUUUAUUUGGAAGACAGCGAUUACUUUUGUCUUGCUUGGAGUCCUUACCCUUGUUUUCCCUACUGAAGAAGGUCCAACUCUCCAGGUCUUAAUCUCUUGUGCGGCAAAUAUCUAUUUCCUUUAUCAGCGGCUUAAAAGUGGAUGGAAAUCAUUCUUUUAUGGGUUCGGCUCCUUCUUUGCUUCCUGGUUUCUUGCCACAUUCUUGAUGGUAUCAGUAAUUCCGCCUAUAUUGCCUGGUCCAAGAAACUUGGAAGUGAGCACGGCGUGUGUUGCUUACGCUUUCCUUUUUGUAUCAUCAACCUUCCUGAAGUAG
rnacentral:rRNA from 1 species